rnacentral:rRNA from 1 species
GACGAACGCUGGCGGCGUGCCUAAUACAUGCAAGUCGAGCGAUGAUUAAAGAUAGCUUGCUAUUUUUAUGAAGAGCGGCGAACGGGUGAGUAACGCGUGGGAAAUCUGCCGAGUAGCGGGGGACAACGUUUGGAAACGAACGCUAAUACCGCAUAACAAUGAGAAUCGCAUGAUUCUUAUUUAAAAGAAGCAAUUGCUUCACUACUUGAUGAUCCCGCGUUGUAUUAGCUAGUUGGUAGUGUAAAGGACUACCAAGGCGAUGAUACAUAGCCGACCGGGGAGGGUGGGCGGCCACACUGGGACUGAGACACGGCCCAGACUCCUACGGGAGGCAGCAGUAGGGAAUCUUCGGCAAUGGGGGCAACCCUGACCGAGCAACGCCGCGUGAGUGAAGAAGGUUUUCGGAUCGUAAAACUCUGUUGUUAGAGAAGAACGUUAAGUAGAGUGGAAAAUUACUUAAGUGACGGUAUCUAACCAGAAAGGGACGGCUAACUACGUGCCAGCCGCCGCGGUAA